ACGCUAGCUACAGGCUUAACACAUGCAAGUCGAGGGGCAGCAUGGUCUUAGCUUGCUAAGGCCGAUGGCGACCGGCGCACGGGUGAGUAACACGUAUCCAACCUGCCGUCUACUCUUGGACAGCCUUCUGAAAGGAAGAUUAAUACAAGAUGGCAUCAUGAGUCCGCAUGUUCACAUGAUUAAAGGUAUUCCGGUAGACGAUGGGGAUGCGUUCCAUUAGAUAGUAGGCGGGGUAACGGCCCACCUAGUCUUCGAUGGAUAGGGGUUCUGAGAGGAAGGUCCCCCACAUUGGAACUGAGACACGGUCCAAACUCCUACGGGAGGCAGCAGUGAGGAAUAUUGGUCAAUGGGCGAGAGCCUGAACCAGCUAAGUAGCGUGAAGGAUGACUGCCCUAUGGGUUGUAAACUUCUUUUAUAAAGGAAUAAAGUCGGGUAUGGAUACCCGUUUGCAUGUACUUUAUGAAUAAGGAUCGGCUAACUCCGUGCCAGCAGCCGCGGUAAUACGGAGGAUCCGAGCGUUAUCCGGAUUUAUUGGGUUUAAAGGGAGCGUAGAUGGAUGUUUAAGUCAGUUGUGAAAGUUUGCGGCUCAACCGUAAAAUUGCAGUUGAUACUGGAUAUCUUGAGUGCAGUUGAGGCAGGCGGAAUUCGUGGUGUAGCGGUGAAAUGCUUAGAUAUCACGAAGAACUCCGAUUGCGAAGGCAGCCUGCUAAGCUGCAACUGACAUUGAGGCUCGAAAGUGUGGGUAUCAAACAGGAUUAGAUACCCUGGUAGUCCACACGGUAAACGAUGAAUACUCGCUGUUUGCGAUAUACUGCAAGCGGCCAAGCGAAAGCGUUAAGUAUUCCACCUGGGGAGUACGCCGGCAACGGUGAAACUCAAAGGAAUUGACGGGGGCCCGCACAAGCGGAGGAACAUGUGGUUUAAUUCGAUGAUACGCGAGGAACCUUACCCGGGCUUAAAUUGCAGAUGAAUUACGGUGAAAGCCGUAAGCCGCAAGGCAUCUGUGAAGGUGCUGCAUGGUUGUCGUCAGCUCGUGCCGUGAGGUGUCGGCUUAAGUGCCAUAACGAGCGCAACCCUUGUUGUCAGUUACUAACAGGUUCCGCUGAGGACUCUGACAAGACUGCCAUCGUAAGAUGUGAGGAAGGUGGGGAUGACGUCAAAUCAGCACGGCCCUUACGUCCGGGGCUACACACGUGUUACAAUGGGGGGUACAGAGGGCCGCUACCACGCGAGUGGAUGCCAAUCCCCAAAACCUCUCUCAGUUCGGACUGGAGUCUGCAACCCGACUCCACGAAGCUGGAUUCGCUAGUAAUCGCGCAUCAGCCACGGCGCGGUGAAUACGUUCCCGGGCCUUGUACACACCGCCCGUCAAGCCAUGGGAGCCGGGGGUACCUGAAGUGCGUAACCGCGAGGAGCGCCCUAGGGUAAAACUGGUGACUGGGGCU
rnacentral:rRNA from 1 species